AGAGUUUGAUCCUGGCUCAGGAUAAACGCUGGCGGCGUGCCUAAUACAUGCAAGUCGAUCGAUAGAAGUCCAGCUUGCUGGACGGAAAUAGAGGCGAACGGGUGAGUAAUACGUAAGCAACCUGCCCACGAAGACCGGGAUAAUCCCUGGAAACGGGGACUAAGACCGGAUAGGUACACAGACCGCAUGAUCUGUGUAUUAAAGGUGAGAGACACUGGUGGAUGGGCUUACGGUGCAUUAGCUGGAUGGUGAGGUAACGGCCCACCAUGGCGAUGAUGCAUAGCCGGGCUGAGAGGCUGAACGGCCACAUUGGGACUGAGACACGGCCCAGACUCCUACGGGAGGCAGCAGUAGGGAAUUUUCGGCAAUGGGGGCAACCCUGACCGAGCAACGCCGCGUGAGUGAUGAAGGUCUUCGGAUUGUAAAGCUCUGUUGUAAGGGAAGAACGGCAUCUAGAGAAUAGGUGAGUGACGGUACCUUACCAGAAAGCUACGGCUAACUACGUGCCAGCAGCCGCGGUAAUACGUAGGUAGCGAGCGUUAUCCGGAAUUAUUGGGCGUAAAGGGUGCGUAGGCGGCCUGUUAAGUUUAUGGUGAAAGCGUGGGGCUCAACCCCAUAAAGCCAUAGAUACUGGCAGGCUAGAGUACUGGAGAGGGUAGUGGAAUUCCAUGUGUAGCGGUAAAAUGCGUAGAUAUAUGGAGGAACACCGGUGGCGAAGGCGGCUACCUAGACAGAGACUGACGCUGAGGCACGAAAGCGUGGGGAGCAAAUAGGAUUAGAUACCCUAGUAGUCCACGCUGUAAACGAUGAAUGCUAGGUAUCGGGGCGACCCGGUGCCGAAACUAACGCGAUAAGCAUUCCGCCUGUGGAGUAUGCACGCAAGUGUGAAACAUAAAGGAAUUGACGGGGGCCCGCACAAGCGGUGGAGUAUGU
rnacentral:rRNA from 1 species